rnacentral:rRNA from 1 species
GACGAACGCUGGCGGCGUGCUUAACACAUGCAAGUCGAACGGAAAGGCCCUGCUUGCAGGGUGCUCGAGUGGCGAACGGGUGAGUAACACGUGGGUGAUCUGCCCCUUACUUUGGGAUAAGCCUGGGAAACUGGGUCUAAUACUGGAUAGGACCAUGCUGUAGGUGGUGUGGUGGAAAGAUUAGUUUCGGUAAGGGAUGAGCUCGCGGCCUAUCAGCGUGUUGGUGGGGUAAUGGCCUACCAAGGCGUCGACGGGUAGCCGGCCUGAGAGGGUGGACGGCAACAUUGGGACUGAGAUAGGGGGCAGACGCCUACGGGAGGCAGCAGUGGGGAAUAUUGCACAAUGGGCGCAAGCCUGAUGCAGCGACGCCGCGUGGGGGAUGACGGCCUUCGGGUUGUAAACACCUUGCAGCCAUGACGAAGCCCUUGUGGUGACGGUAGUGGUAGAAGAAGCACCGGCUAACUACGUG